GUGCUGCUGGCCUGGCGCGUGUACCGAGUGGGCUGGAAGGCGUCGGGCCACCAGAGGUUUAGGGAAACAGGAUCGGCCUCAGGCCACUGAUGGAAGGAAAAUGAAAGCAGAGAAACAAACACCCCUGGAUCAAUACGUCCCUGCCAAGUCCUCUUCGUCAUCACAGGAGCACCUGGAAUGCAUUCAGGUGAAGAAAAUCCACCAAUGAUGUGCAAUAUUGGAAGAAGCCCAAGCUUUGGAGCUCGACAGAUCUGAUUUCUUAUCCCACAUCCACCACAUAGUGGUGCCAUGAAAUCAUGGCAAUAUGGCAUGACCUCAAACAAGAUAAUUUACCUUGCAACAUUUCAGUCUUCAAACAUGUAAAGGGGCCUAGUAGUAUUUAGCUUGCAUGGUUCUAGAAGACAAGAGAUAAUGUAUAUAAACCAACAGACAAACAACAAGUACUCAGAAAAUGCCUGGGGUUCUGCAAUGCUAACAUGUUCCCAUUCUGGCACUUCAUUUCUGAUUAAUCACUGCAGAGAAAGAAAUUAGAUUUUCCAGGGACAUCAGGAAUCCCAAGGACUUUUAUUUGUAAACUUCCUCUAGGAAAAGGUACUUUACCACUUGAAGAAUAAGAGAGAUUUGCUUCUCUCUGUGCCAAUAUUUUCAAGAGAAAGUCUCUGAGUUUUUCUGCACCACCAGCCUUCCUUUGGGGUGAUGGAGCCAUCCCUGAGGUAUAUGGCAUAUGUUGCACCAUCACCUCCUCUGUCUCAGAUGUCAUGGAACCCCCUGCUAAAGGCAACAGCCGCACAGAGAUCUCCAUGGGA